CCAAAAUACAAAAUACAUAGAAAAAAAAUGAGAUAUAUCCUUUAUCAACACCACUUGUAAAAAGAAAAAAAGAUUUAGCAAGGUACGUGCCACAGUAUUGUCAUCCCUGAAUGUAGUGACACACUAAGCCCUUAAAAUCUUUUUUCUUUUGUAACUCUAAAAUGGUUGAUUUACAAUCGGACUCCAAAAUACAACCCCAACCAUGAAAGGAAGAAGUAAUGUCUACGUUGAUUUUGAACAAUUGGCUAGGAGGCAGAGACCGUCGAGUUGGCCAUGGAUACACAAACAAAGAUUUAGACGCAACAUCAUAGGUGAUGUCAUUCUACUAUGUGAAAUUAAAGGUAUGAAAAUUUUAUACGGUCAUGAAAGUAGGUUCCCUCUAAUCCUUACCUUACUCUAUAUAUAUCCUUCAUCUUAAUUUUCAUGGAUCAUAAGGUAGACAUAUUCUAACCUAUCUCCUAUAUACAUAUGUGCCAUGAUUUUUGUAUAUAUAGUAUUCAAUAAAUCCAUCAUCUUGUUACUUCCUCCCCGAUCAUUGAAAUUGAUUGGAAAUAAACCCAUCUUGUUACUAUAUUCUGUGGUUGAAAAUGAUUUUGUAGGGUCUUGAUGGAACUGGAAUGAGGAUUGUGCAACCAGAAAGCAUCACCAUAAUAUCAUUGGUUUAUUUCCAACAAAGUACAUGCUAGUUCGUAGACAUUUAACAAUUAUAAACUUGAUGGGAGGCUGUGAAUAUCUUUGGCAUAUGGGAAAAGGAAAUUCAAUUAUGUAACAAAUUAUGGGAAUUAGGAAGAUGGGCCACAUAUGGGCUUAUUGCAAGGCCUUUACAUAAUUAGAUUUGUUUGGACAAUGUGUUGCAUUUAAAUAUGAAGGCAGGCCUCAAUGCGUCAUGCUGAACCUCAUUGUAUAAACUAUACAGAUGCCAUUAACACACGUUGUUAUGUGGCUAUAUACGUAUUUGCAUUUAUGUACAAAUUAAAACUUACAACUAUUUUCUUGCUGGCACAA